GGCUGAUUUGGUUUCCAUGUUGUAUGACGAUGGAUGAUAACAAUCAAAUUAGUUCUUUGGAAGAUAGCAUCAUUCAUCAAUACAAAAGCGCCAAUUCUCAAGCACAAUUUGCCAACAUUUCUCUUAAAACUGAUAGCAGCAGAAGGAGAUACAUAGCUUCAGAAAUAGAAAAGUUUGGAAAAGGGAACAUUUCAGCUCAAGCCUUCACGUUCCGUGAGUUGUGUCUUGCAACUGAAA
rnacentral:misc_RNA from 1 species